GCCAUAACCUUCACAUGUAUAGCAACAAAGCCACACACAAUCUCUUCAUAUGGUGUCAUAUAUUUUCCGAGGACAAAACAAAACUCAUCACCAUUAAUGCGGUGCUUUAAAACAAGGAAGUAGACAUUGUAAGGCACAAACGGAGAUAUUUCAACAUGCAACAGGAAAUUUGCUGAAAUUAAUAACGUAUUUUUGUAUUAAUGAUGUAGGCUACAGACAGACGUUCUCAAGCUAAAUGCAAAGGUUCGAUUAGCCUUGCUUGAAGUGUUUGGAGAAGCGCGCUCAAUUGGAUAACGAAUGACAAUCUCGCGCCUGUCAUCUCCGGAAACAGGUGUCAAAAUGAACAGCAGUAACAAGUUAUCGCUUUGCAAUAUGAUUCGGGCCGAGGUACGGCGGCAUGAAACUGUACAGAACAACAAAUCAGUUGGAGAGGGUCGACAACCAACAGCUUCGCUCUGGUUUAAAAGUUUACCUUCACAGCAUCCAAGGCAAUCAUAUCUACCUACGGGGAAGGAUGGCCAGCCACACAGAAGGUUGAUUUUUACUAAGGAGGAGAAGGAGGCCAUCCUGACAGAGAUGCAUGUGGUCAUUUUUGGAGUGAAGCGCAUGAAUGCCAAAAUCAUUUUACAUUACAUUUAAGUCAUUUAGCAGACGCUCUUAUCCAGAGCGACUUACAAAUUGGUGCUUUCACCUUAUGACAUCCAGUGGAACAGCCACUUUACUCUUCUACUGACGUGAAAUUGUCAAGGAUGUGGAUAGCUGGGUCAGUACCCUGUCUAGCCUGCCAGAAGUUUGAGGGCGAAGACUGUGGCACUGGAGAUAAAGCCCAUCAAAGUUGUUUCACCAUGGCACAUGAUUGGUUCACCAUGGCACAUGAUCGGGGUGGAACUCAUUGGACCCUUCACAAAAUCCAGGAAUGGAAACAGCUGGUGUCUUCCAGCGACCGGUCACUUUCCAAGUGGGUGGAGGCAAUGCCCAUUAAAGGAAGAGACGAGACUAGCGAUACCACCUCCAAGGCGAUAGUGGACUAUCUUCAGCACCCACGGUUCUCCUGAGGUCAUCUUGAGUGACCGAGGUCAUGAACGCUGGAACAAGGUUUGAUGGAUGGACAAACCAGACCAUCAAGUCCCUUGAUACCAGGAAGGCUGGGAGAACAACCUGAAGGUAAUUCUCUUUGCACACAACAGCAUCCAGGCCAAGUAUAGAUGGGAGCCGCAGCUGUUGUCUAAGGAAGGUAAACAAUGCAAUUGUAUAUAGAAUUAUUGCAUAUACUGUAGUCUUUCAAAUUUGUGAGUGACUUUUAGUGUUGUUUGUCUAUUGCUAUUUUUGUUUAACUUACUUUCAGAUCUCUGAAACCCCACCUGAUGUGGUGGAAGUUGUCGAUCCAGAUUAGAACACCUUCGAGUACCACCUUCAGGCACAGACUGAGAAGGAUGUUGUUACGACUUCUAGGAGUAGUGGGUGCGGAGUCAGGCGCAGAGAGCAGAGGGUAAAGGACAACUGUAUUUAUUCCGGAGAAAAGUAGGUCACGCCAAAACACCAGGCGCAUACAAUGACCGGCCCAAAAACAGGACACAAACAGUCCGGAGAAAUACAGAAAAUAUCACAUCCACAAAACGAACAGAGAAACAAGCCCACACAAAAGCCAGCGGGCUUACUGGGUUUAAAUAGCCCACAAUCACAACCUAAACCCAAAACAGGUGCAACUAAUCAGACACAACUAACUGAAACAGAAAAGGGGAUCGUUGGCAGCUAGUAGGCCUGGCGACGACAACCGCCGAGCACCGCCCGAACAGGAAGAGGCACCGUCUUCGGCGGGAUUCGUGACAGGUGUGGAGGUUUUUGACCAGGAAAAAUGAUUGCCCGCUGUUAAUUUAUGUUGUAACACUGCAGUAAAAUCCAUCAAAUUUUCUCACAGUAAGUGUAACCUGUGUGUUUGCUUGUUUACUUCUCUGUCUCCUACCUUUUUCAUUUUAACUCUGCUCCUGUUCUCCAGUACCUAGGGGUUCUGCCCAACACCCAGACGUGGAUCCACCUUAUGUCCUCCAUUACCAACCACCCUCCAACUUUUCAUUACAUCAUCUACAGCUACUGUUGUUGUCAUGUUGUCUGUUAAGAGUUUUCUUGCUCUUAUCAUUCUAGGCACAUAAUAUGUGAGAUCCACAGAUGAACUAAAAACACUAGCACUGCAAACACUCAGAACAAAGAGAGCAGCAGUGCCUGGACUUUGCUGUCUCUCUCUUCAAGUCCCCCUUCUGAGACUGGCUGCCUGUUGAGAACAAGUGACAGGCAGAAUUCCACACACCAGAAUUCAGUAUUUUAGUCUAUGAAUGCCAUGUGAGUGUACAAAAAAUGUGAAAAUAAAUUAAUGACAUAACUACCAAAAA